rnacentral:rRNA from 1 species
GCUUACGGCCAUACCAGCCUGUGUACGCCCGAUCUCGUCUGAUCUCGGAAGCUAAGCCUUGUCGGGCCUGGUUAGUACUUCGAUGGGAGACCGCCUGGGAAUACCAGGUGCUGUAAGCA